AACAUGCUAGCAUGUUUAGUCUUGCAUUUAAAAUUAUGAAAGUCAAUCUAUGAUGCAACUGGAGACUGAUAUUUUGGUCUUUGUUGACACUGACAAAGAAAAGAAAGCCAGCUACUUGAAUUUGAAAGUCAACUUAAUUUUGACGGAGAGCAGAAACCAGAUCUUUCUGUCUACUAUACAUAACUGGCUCUUGAACAAUCAAAAAGCCACAGCUCCCCGUACUUGAGAUGAAACUUCUGAAUUUUCUCCCUUGACAAUUAAUUUAACAGGUUUCAAAUGACACUUAGAGUCUCACAACUAGUUGAAGUUUUCCAUUAACAAUGGUCUGUAAAAAUCAGAGAUCCUUGAGAGAUGAUCAAGGUUGUUUGCUUUGCAAGUUUUCUUAUGACCACGAAUUAGACACUAAAAGAAUCCUUGUCAGCAAAUAUGUGAAAUUUGGUGAGCUAUCAAAACAGAAUUGGGAGAAAUGUUAAGUUGAAGGCUUAAGAAAGGGACUGCCUAGAGAAGACAAUUUGUAAGAGCAAAACUACUGAGAUGGAGAAAAGUAUGAUAGUGACAUUAUUCUAAUGAAAGGUACCAAAACCUUAAAUGACAUCUAUGCUAGAUUCAAUUUAGCUACAACUGAAUGAAUGUUGAAGUUGCUGAAAUAGAAUGAUGGAGAAGUUUCAUACAAGAGAAUAUCAAUAUGAUAGAGAAAACCAAACAUUUGGCAAUUGGUAAACAGUGAUAAUCAAAAGGUAAUAAUUAGUGUUCUGUGAGUUUAUAUAACAAAACUUAAUUUUGAUGGUUUUGUGGGAAAAAAAAGUUAGAUUGGUGGUAAAAGGUUAAUUUUAGCAACAUGGUGUUGAUUUUUUUUUACAAAUUUGCUCUAAUGGCAAGACAUGAUACAAUCAAAUUGCUUGUAGCCUUGGUAGCCAUUUGAUUGCUUUCUGCUCUGCCCACUAGGAAACUUUUAUAGCUUUUGUAUUUAAACUCUCAUUGUAACACUUUAAAUAUGAUGCAUAACUGAAAUACAACAAAUCAGUUUUUGCUCCA